AUAUAAAUGAUGAUUUAGUUUCUACGUAUCACGACGGUCUUCUGACAAAACACAUGGAGAUGGUAGAACGUUCUGAUAUU
ensembl:snoRNA